AUUGAACGCUGGCGGCAGGCCUAACACAUGCAAGUCGAGCGGAGCGGCGGACGGGCGAGUAAUACAUAGGAAUCUGCCUGGUAGAGGGGGAUAACGUACGGAAACGGAAGCUAAUACCGCAUACUAUUAGAUGAGCCUAGGUUGGAUUAGCGAGUUGGUGCGGUAAUGGCGUACCAAGGCUACGAUCCGUAACUGGUCUGAGAGGAUGAUCAGUCACACUGGAACUGAGACACGGUCCAGACUCCUACGGGAGGCAGCAGUGGGGAAUAUUUGCCAAUGGGCGAAAGCCUGAUCCAGCCAUGCCGCGUGUGUGAUGAAGGUCUUCGGAUUGUAAAGCACUUUUAGUUGGGAAGCGUUACCUACAGAAUAAGCCCCGGCUAACUCUGUGCCAGCAGCCGCGGUAAUUC
rnacentral:rRNA from 1 species